UUCAUCUCACAUGAUCCAGAGAACUUCAGCUGAGGUUCAGAUCACCUCAAUUCCUCAGCACCAUCAGUGUACCAUCACAGUACCAUCAGUGCACCAUCAGAACACCAUCAGUGCGCGAUCAGAACACCAUCAGUGCAUGAUCAGAGAACCAUCAGUGCACGAUCAGAGUACCAUCAGUGCACCAUCACAGUACCAUCAGUGUACCACCACAUCAGAUGAGAAAGAAACGAGUCUAACCUACUGGCAGAAGUAACCAGAUUUGGGGCACCUUGAUACCUGGCAGGAAACGGAACACAGCCCUAAAACGUCACUGAGUCGCCACAACGAUCUACAGUCAACAACCUUGUCUGUCCUGUCCAGUCCUAAAGACACUUCGACCUUCUCCGUCUGGUUUGUGAGACAAGAGCUGAACAAAACCA